rnacentral:rRNA from 1 species
CCUACGGGCGGCAGCAGUAGGGAAUCUUCCACAAUGGGCGAAAGCCUGAUGGAGCAACGCCGCGUGGGUGAAGGAGGUCUUCGGAUCGUAAAACCCUGUUGUUAGAGAAGACAGUGCGUGAGAGUAACUGUUCACGUUUCGACGGUAUCUAACCAGAAAGCCACGGCUAACUACGUGCCAGCAGCCGCGGUAAUACGUAGGUGGCAAGCGUUAUCCGGAUUUAUUGGGCGUAAAGGGAACGCAGGCGGUCUUUUAAGUCUGAUGUGAAAGCCUUCGGCUUAACCGGAGUAGUGCAUUGGAAACUGGGAGACGUGAGUGCAGAAGAGGAGAGUGGAACUCCAUGUGUAGCGGUGAAAUGCGUAGAUAUAUGGAAGAACACCAGUGGCGAAAGCGGCUCUCUGGUCUGUAACGGACGCUGAGGUUCGAAAGCGUGGGUAGCAAACAGGAUUAGAUACCCUUGUAGUC